UCCCAAAAAUAAAGAUCUCAGUAUUUUAAAAGCUUAAACAAACACUCAAAGCCCAUAGUCACCAAAAACCAUUCAAAGCCCAUACUGAAGAUGCAAACAGUGGUUAGCUUCGAGUGAGAUGGAUCGAAACCCUAAAUUACAGCCAUCGUUGUGCCGUCAUUACCGCCACUGCCAUCGCCACUGCUACAGCCAUUCAUCUCCUUGAUGCAAGCACCAAUGCCACCACGUGCUUCGACAAUCUCUUCUCCCGUUGUCUCUUCUGUCGAUGGGUCUCUUCAGAUCACGAGACGGUAACUUUUGAGAAAGAACCCAUGCCUUCGAACCUCGCCAGCAGCGAAGAAAGCGACGAAAAGCAAAGCUUCUCCUCCAAAAACAAAUUCUCUUCCCGCAAUGCUUUUCUAAGUACGAUUUUGUUAAGGUGAAGGUGCGGUUGGGUGAUAAUACGGAUCAUUACUAUGUUCUGUCUAGAUUUUUGCUCAGUAGGAUUCUAACUGUAACCAAGAGAAAUGUAGAUUUUAUUUGGAAACUGGAAAUGUGACAGUUGAACUUGGUGGCAUUCAGAAGGAGGUCUCGCGGUGCAUAAAUUGCGAUGGUGCUGGUUACCUCGUUCACACACCAACAAUACUUUACAAGAUAGGAUAAGUUGUCCUAUAUUGGCCUUAUAAAAUGUUUUGAUAUCAUCUUUUAUCAUUUUCUGGUUUAUUUUAGCAUGUGACCAUCUUAUAGUGGCCUACCUUUUAUGAAUAUUUAGAUAUUAAUUGAAGUAAAGAAUGGAGGACAUAGCUUGUGCCCUCAGAGGAAAAGUGAGAAACAAAAACAGAAAAGGACAUAUUCUAUGAGUUUGUGAUCCAGUGAUGGGUGACGAAGGAAAACUUUAUGUUCCUCAAGAGCUAAUAUUAAUCUAUCGUGAAAGGGUAAGACUAUUUAGCAAAGAUGUUUCUACAGGUGUUCAUGUGCAAAUAAUAUAUACAAUGCAUCAAGUUUAAAGAAUAUAAAUCUUUUAGCUCAGUUACCAAUAAUUGAAAACUCAUUUUUCUUUGCAUUGGACGGCCAAAUUAAUAAGGGAAAGAAGAAACUAUUACAUUAUUACCGUAUUCUUUUGUGGAAAAAAGUAAAAGGUGCUUUUCACCUUACUUUAAUUUAUGUUAUAGUUUCACGUGAAUGAAGUAAUGAAUAAGUGUGGUUAAGGUCACUAACAUAUACAUACUAUACUAGUACUAGCAUGUAAGAAAUAAUAAAUAUAUGGUUUUAUUUGUAAGAAUUAGGAAAAGAAAGAGAGACAGCAGGGGAGGGGUUACAUCCUUUUCACCUUUCACUACCUUUCAACUAAAAAAAGGAAAUGUAAUGUAAUGAUAUUGAAGGCAAGGAGGGCAUUGAGAGCGCUAAAAGCAUUGGUGAAGUUGCAAGCAUUGGUUAGGGGCCACAUCAUGAGAAAGCAAACCGCAGAUAUGCUAAGGCGCAUGCAAACAUU